rnacentral:rRNA from 1 species
AUUGGGCCUAAAGCGUCGUAGCCGGCCGGACAAGUCCGUUGGGAAAUCUGCGCGCUUAACGCGCAGGCGGCCAGCGGAAACUGUCCGGCUUGGGGCCGGAAGACUCGAGGGGUACGUCCGGGGUAGGAGUGAAAUCCCAUAAUCCUGGACGGACCGCCGGUGGCGAAAGCGCCUCGAGAGGACGGACCCGACGGUGAGGAACGAAAGCCAGGGUCUCGAACC